rnacentral:tRNA from 1 species
AGUAAUGUGUCUGAUUAAAGUAAUAAAUUGUAAAUUUAUUUAAAAGAUUAAAUUAGUCUUCUUUACUA